GUGUUAACAUGACCCAACUUAAAAAUAGUUUAAGAGAAUUUUUUUAUGGAAGUUACUAGAUAAAAGAGUCGUACAAAAAUAGGGCUUAGGCCCUCUUUGUAUAAAAAUUAACUUAAUAAAAUAAACUUUUUCUAAAUGAAUUCCACCUAUCUCAGAAAACUGACUUUAUAGUUUAUACCGUUGUUUUCAAAUUACUAAUAUUUUCUGUUCGUUAUCCCUAAUCAAUGUUGAUGCAAUCAGAGUGCGAAGAAUGAUAAGGGCACUUCAAUUGAAAAGAGCUUCGCAAUUGCAAUAUGCAUUUUAUGUUCUCCACUUUACAUGAUGUGCUAAGGUGAUUCCUCAAUCAAUUCUAACACAAGAGAUAAUAGUCUUGUUUUAUUUUGUCGAUCAUAUUUUACACCCCACAACUGUUUGAUAAAUUGUCUCUGAUAAAUAUGCAAAAAAAUUAUCUUGAUGUUGGAGACAAUGUUUUCUUCAAUUCCACCAUGCUUAAAGUAUGGUGGUUCAAGAGGGGAUGGCAAGUUUAUUGAAGGGCUGGCUGUUGAGUUAGAAUGCCAUUGUUUGUAGGGUGGUCAAUAUUAUAUCAGUUAAUUGUGCACCAAAGUGGUAUAUGGACGAUUUCAUCGCGAUUUGUAUGAAAACAGAGGAGGUGCUUCCUAGUUCCUACUCUUACCUACGGCUCAUAUACACACCCACAUCAAAGCAGCACUCGGGGUGGCUCAUUAAAAAUCUCUCCAUUGCCAUAUCAGCCAUGAAUUUGGACCUUCUGCUUAAAAAUGUUGGCCAAUUGUUAUGCAAAACCUGGUGAUGCCAAGGUGCCAGUAGAUAGUUGCGGCGGCUGGAUUGUCGUCGAAGCUAGUGGAUCGUAAAAUGAAUAAAGUUCAAAUCUUAUUGCGCAACUAG